CCAUUGAAGGAGCAUAUGUGGGUUAGAGUUGAACAUAUGGUCGGCCUGACCAUUGUACAAAAUGUUUUCAUUGUUUAUUAUGGCUAAGGGAUUCAAGGAUGUUGCAGAACAAACAGGUCCAAAACAACUGGACCUUGACACACGAGGGAAACACAUAGAUGGUCAAGUAGACCAAGUCUAUGGAUGAUUGGCAUGAUUCUUGAUUCAUCCAACGUCUCCGGAGGACGUCGUUUGUUUGCAUGGCAAUUCAAUCCAACCUUGUACCAUUUGAUUAUGUACUAAAUUCACUUUUGUUGCUGUUUAAGAUUCGGACAUUCCACCACAUAAAAUUGGCGUCACGAACAGGAUGGUCUAGAACGCUGCAGGUCGACAUCCGCUCCCGGUCUGUCAAGGCAGACAGAGGUUGCACUGUGUGCACAUCUAAAGAUCAGCCCUUCCCAGGACCAGCAGCUCCCUUGGAAGGAAGAAUCAGCAUAAGACCAAAAUGAUUCCCUUCUACCCGCCGGGAGGGUCAGGGUCAAAGUCGGAUCCCAGACCUGUUACCGAUACCUGACUGGGAGGAAUCGGGAGAGGAGAGACAACACCCGAUACCUGACUGGGAGGAACCUCAGAGGAGAGAAAACACCUGGCCAGCGAUGACGAAAACGACUAAG